CCGCGGCUGCCACCAAUUUCUCCCCCCGCGUCACUGAAGCGCAGCGAGGCCUCCGCCUCCCCUCCGAAGACGCGCGUCUUCCCGAUCGAGGCUUUACAGAAGCAUCCUAACUCCCUUGUGUACUCUGUGUCAGAACUACACUACUUACGACCGCAAAACACUGAAUGGCUGUUGGGUACAUAUGAAUAAACAUUUCUAACUCAGCUGCCAACCAACGAUCAUCCAUAUGUCUACAAACCAGAAAUGGAAGCUUAUAAUUUCUUGUUGUCAAUUUGUAGCCAGCUCUUUCUUAUAACCAUUUCUGGGGGAAAAUAAGCCAGUAUAUUCAGUUCCCUAUUCCCAGAGAAAGUAGAUGUCAUUUUCUCCAAGAAACAAAAAGUAAAGUACAGAGACCAAGUGACUUCGCUUGCGCUACUUCAAUAACUCAUACAAUCUGAGUCCUGGGAAAGAGUUGAAACCUCAGUGUGAGGUCUUGGAGGCUAGGGUCUCACCAUCUUCCGUUGUAUUAAUUUGGUGGAAUUAGCAAGUAUUUUAAACAUCAAUUUGUAUGAACAUCAAAAUCAAAGUUCAAUUUUCUCCCCUGUCAAAAACAGUCAUUUAUUCAUUUCUAAGGGCUAGGGGGGAUUUUCAAGCAGUCUAUAAUUACUAUAAAUUCUUAAACAGUCUA